ensembl:lncRNA
UCUGCAUCUUGAAAUGACGACCUGUGCCUCUGGGACUCAGCUGCAAGGAAGACAAGUGGAAGUGCACUGGAUGGAUGGAUGAAGGCACUCUCCCAGGCUUCCAACUCUUGGCAUGCAAGGACCAAGCCAGGGUCAAGGAGUGGAAGAAGCAGCUUACCUUCUGGAAGCCUAGAGGUAAGGCUCUAAGUGAGAACUUUCUCCUGGCCUAUCUUUUUCAGUGCUGUUUGUUUGGAAAGGGAACAGAUUUUCCUGUUACAACAGCCAAGAAAACAGAAAAUAAAUCAAGGAAAGAGUGGCAAGGACCGGCCUGGAAAUGAAGUUAAAAUAUCUAGGCUUGGUGAAGACACCACAAAAUGGUUUUCUCCUCAAAGUGGCUGCACAGCUUAGAGGGGCGGCAAAUCAGACUGACUGCUCUAAUGGAUCUAGGGACAUAUUCUUCUCCCUGACAACUCCACCCACACCUCUUCCCACCCCAUUUCCUCCAAAAGCCUUUUGCAGAUGGUGCCUCUCAGUUCCCAGAACCAGUCUGGAGCAAUGAUUAAAGGACAAAAAUUCCAGGAACCAUUUUUUUCUUGUUGUACACUUUGGCAAAUGCUUCAGCUACACGAAGACACAGUGAAUCAUUUAAGAGUAACAAUCAAGAUGCUGGAGGGAAAUUAAGGAUUCCACUGAGCAUGGGGCCAGUCUUCAAAAAAGUGGUUGUUAGCAAAAAGGUAGGAUGCUGUGAACACUCUUUUUGGGCACCCUUCAUCCCCACAGGCACUCAGGCCACACUUUUGCCUCCUUGGAUCCCUCCUCCCUUUCCCUAUUCCUUUGGACAAGAAUAAUUUCCAUUACUACGAAGUCUCUACAUAUUCCAGAUUUAUAAUAUAACCAUGAAAAAAUAAAUAAUGAAAGUCUCAGGACCUUAUAGGAUCAGAUAACCACAAAUAGUUCUCUAUACCAUGGGUUCCCAACCUCUGGGCCGCAGACCAGUACCAGUCUAUGGCCUGUUAGGAACCAGGCUGCAGGACAGGAGGUGAGCAGCUGACCAGGGAGCCUUACCACCUGAGCUCCACCUCCUGUCAGAUCAGCAGCAGGAUUAGAUUCUCAUAGGAGCACAAACCCUAUUGUGAACUGCACAAGCGAGGGAUCUAGGUUGCGCACUCCUUAGGAGAAUCCAAUGCCCAGUGAUCUGAGGUGGAACAAUUUCAUCCCAAAAACACUCCUCCCCCACCUUCUGUGGAAAAAUUGUCCUCCAUGAAACUGGUCCCUGGUACCUAAAAGCUGGGGACUGCUGCUCUAUACAACAUCCAACAUUCCACUGAAAAGACACCAGGUUAUCUUUUGCCCAUUUCAGUUUUUCACAAUGUUUCCUGACAUUGGAGAAGCUCUCUCAGAAUGCAGAGAUAAAGAACAAAGAGAUCAAAACAAUUAGAGAGAACAUAAAGACAAAAGACAGAAAACAGAAUCAUACUUGUGAAUUCUAGGUGAUUUGAAGAAGAAAUGAGAACAAUUAAGUACUGACCUAAAAAGGUCUGAUGAAGGGACUCCUUUAUCCAGACUGAAUAGUCACCUAGGGUGGCUGUAACAAACUGGGUGGCUUAGAA